GCUCAGCCCACUCAGUGAUCAGGACUGAACACAGCUGCUCACCAUGGAGAGUGUGCUCAGCUGGGUUUUCCUGGUGGCUGUUUUCAAAGGUGUCCAGUGUGAGGUGCAGCUGAUGGAGUCUGGGGGAGGCCUGGUGCAGCCUGGGGGUUCCCUGCGACUCUCCUGUGCAGCCUCUGGAUUCACGUUCAGUAAUUACUACAUGCACUGGGUCCGCCAGGCUCCAGGGAAGGGGCUGGAGUGGGUCUCAUACAUUAGUGGUGGUAGCAGUGACAUAAACUAUGCCAACGCUGUGAAGGGCCGAUUCACCAUCUCCAGAGACAACUCCAAGAACACCCUGUACCUGCAAAUGAGCAGUCUGAGAGUCGAGGACACAGCCACCUAUUACUGUGCUAGAGACACAAUACUCAAGGUCCCUCCUCUGCCAGAUCCCCUGUGA